rnacentral:rRNA from 1 species
UCGCGGCCUAUCAGCUUGUUGGUGAGGUAAUGGCUCACCAAGGCGUCGACGGGUAGCCGGCCUGAGAGGGUGACCGGCCACACUGGGACUGAGACACGGCCCAGACUCCUACGGGAGGCAGCAGUGGGGAAUAUUGCACAAUGGGCGCAAGCCUGAUGCAGCAACGCCGCGUGAGGGACGACGGCCUUCGGGUUGUAAACCUCUUUUAGCAGGGAAGAAGCGAAAGUGACGGUACCUGCAGAAAAAGCGCCGGCUAACUACGUGCCAGCAGCCGCGGUAAUACGUAGGGCGCAAGCGUUAUCCGGAAUUAUUGGGCGUAAAGAGCUCGUAGGCGGUUUGUCGCGUCUGCUGUGAAAUCCGGAGGCUCAACCUCCGGCCUGCAGUGGGUACGGGCAGACUAGAGUGCGGUAGGGGAGAUUGGAAUUCCUGGUGUAGCGGUGGAAUGCGCAGAUAUCAGGAGGAACACCGAUGGCGAAGGCAGAUCUCUGGGCCGUAACUGACGCUGAGGAGCGAAAGGGUGGGGAGCAAACAGGCUUAGAUACCCUGGUAGUCCACCCCGUAAACGUUGGGAACUAGUUGUGGGGUCCAUUCCACGGAUUCCGUGACGCAGCUAACGCAUUAAGUUCCCCGCCUGGGGAGUACGGCCGCAAGGCUAAAACUCAAAGGAAUUGACGGGGACCCGCACAAGCGGCGGAGCAUGCGGAUUAAUUCGAUGCAACGCGAAGAACCUUACCAAGGCUUGACAUAUACGAGAACGGGCCAGAAAUGGUCAACUCUUUGGACACUCGUAAACAGGUGGUGCAUGGUUGUCGUCAGCUCGUGUCGUGAGAUGUUGGGUUAAGUCCCGCAACGAGCGCAACCCUCGUUCUAUGUUGCCAGCACGUUAUGGUGGGAACUCAUGGGAUACUGCCGGGGUCAACUCGGAGGAAGGUGGGGAUGACGUCAAAUCAUCAUGCCCCUUAUGUCUUGGGCUUCACGCAUGCUACAAUGGCCGGUACAAAGGGCUGCAAUACCGUGAGGUGGAGCGAAUCCCAAAAAGCCGGUCCCAGUUCGGAUUGAGGUCUGCAACUCGACCUCAUGAAGUCGGAGUCGCUAGUAAUCGCAGAUCAGCAACGCUGCGGUGAAUACGUUCCCGGGUCUUGUACACACCGCCCGUCAAGUCAUGAAAGUCGGUAACACCUGAAGCCGGUGGCCUAACCCUUGUGGAGGGAGCCGUCGAAGGUGGGGCUGG